rnacentral:lncRNA from 1 species
GUGGAGUUUGAUGGUUGGUCGCUGCUCUCUCUCUCUCUCUCUCUCUCUCUCUCUCUCUAACCAUUCCAGCUCUGCUGACAGACAGAGACACUCGGCUCACUGACUGACCUGCAUGUCUGUCUCCUGAUGUGAGGGUGAUGGAUGUCCCUGUGGAGCGGGACUCUGGCUUUUCCCCUCACCGGAAACACAUCACUUUACAGGACAAAUAAGGAGUCAGAGGACAAACACCAGGAUUCUUGCCAAAAACACCGCCGACGCUGCUGUGGUGUCUGUCACACUGACACUACGUCCCUUUUUCUUCCUUCGUCUUCUUCUCCGGCUCCGGCACACACACACACCGGGGUAGUUAGGUCCAAAACACGGAUAAAGCUAGCCCAGCUGUCCCCUCCUGGUACCGGGGAGCUAAGAGCGUCUUCUCUCAGCCCUCGCUCUACUCUGAUAUCAACGAUCAGCAGUCCUGUGAGAGCCAAAAGGAAACCCACCAAUUUUACACAUCAAGACUGGUAUAAGACAUGAGCUGCUAAUGAUUUAGUCGUUUCUACCUGGGUUGGAGGUCUUCUAGAG